rnacentral:rRNA from 1 species
AGGAAUAUUGGUCAAUGGACGCAAGUCUGAACCAGCCAUGCCGCGUGGAGGAUGAAGGUCCUCUGGAUUGUAAACUUCUUUUAUCUGGGAAGAAACCCAUGUUUUCCAAUGUGGUUGACGGUACCAGAUGAACAAGCACCGGCUAACUCCGUGCCAGCAGCCGCGGUAAGACGUAGGGGGCAAGCGUUAUCCGGAUUCACUGGGCGUAAAGGGCGCGUAGGCGGCUAUGUAAGUCCGUUGUGAAAGCCCCGGGCUCAACUCGGGAACUGCGGCGGAUACUGCAUUGGCUAGAGGAUGGUAGAGGCUAGUAGAACUAGCGGUGUAGCGGUGAAAUGCGCAGAUAUCGCUAGGAACGCCGGUGGCGAAGGCGACUGGCUGGGCCACUCCUGACGCUGAGGCGCGAAAGCCAGGGGAGCGAA